rnacentral:rRNA from 1 species
AGAGUUGAUCCUGGCUAGGACGAACGCUGGCGGCGUGCCUAACACAUGCAAGUCGAGCGGGGAUGAUGGAAGAGCUUGCUCGGAAAUCAUCCUAGCGGCGGACGGGUGAGUAACGCGUGAGCAACCUGUCCCAGACAGGGGGAUACCAGAUGGAAACAUCUGCUAAUACCGCAUAAGACCACGGGGGUCGCAUGGCUCUGGGGUAAAAGGAGGAAUCCGGUUUGGGGUGGGCUCGCGUCCGAUUAGCUGGUUGGUGAGGUAACGGCCCACCAAGGCGACGAUCGGUAGCCGACCUGAGAGGGUGAUCGGCCACAUUGGAACUGAGACACGGUCCAAACUCCUACGGGAGGCAGCAGUGGGGAAUAUUGGGCAAUGGGCGAAAAAGCCUGACCCAGCAACGCCGCGUGAGGGAAGAAGGUUUUCGGAUUGUAAACCUCUGUCCUAAGUGACGAAGGAAGUGACGGUAGCUUAGGAGGAAGCCCCGGCUAACUACGUGCCAGCCGCCGC